rnacentral:snRNA from 1 species
GUGCUCGCUUUGGCAGCACAUAUACUAAAAUUGGAAUGAUACAGAGAAGAUUAGCAUGGCUCCUGCACAAGGAUGACACGCAAAUUUGUGUCAUUCGUAUUU